rnacentral:lncRNA from 1 species
AUUUUCAAUAAAAUACAAAUAGGAACGAUUUAUCAAAUCUAAUUAUAACUAUAUUUAACUCUCUUCAUCACCAUCACAUGCAAUCCUCAAUGACCUGAAAUACAAAGGGUGUUGAAAGAUACAAAUCUCAGGCCGGGGAUCGGCCAAACAUUCUAUGUUGUGUGUUCAAGAUGAAGCUCGAUAGUAUAAUGACAUAAAUUAAGAAAGAGCGUAUAUUCGGACGUAUUAGAGCACGUAAGUAUUUAAUUAGAUCUGUACAAUUGGGUAUUAUUGAGUAAAUACAGAUCUAACAUUAAUAUAGAGCUAUGCAACCAAAACAUAUCAAUCAAAUACCUGUUCAAAUACGUCAACAAGGGUCAUGAUCGAGUUACGACGGCAUUUUACGAAAGACGCAAUAUUGAUGGCAGUGUUGAGAUUCUUGACGAGAUAAAGAUGUACUACGACUGCAGAUAUCUUUCGGUAUGUGAGGCAAUGUGGAGGUUGUUUAAUUUUGAUAUUCAUUACAGAGACCCAUCUGUAAUUAGGCUAAGCUUUUAUCUCCCAGACAAUAUUGGAACCAGACCAGACCGGCCGGUCGGACCGGUUCGACCGCGACCCAGCAAUAAAACGGUCCGAGCUGAUGUGUAAAACCGGGGAAGAUGAAAACUGGGGUCUAAUGCCGGAAACACGGUUCGACCGGGUAAAACCCGGGAACCGGCGAAUCGGCCAAGAAACUCGGUUUUCAGUCAAAAUGGCACAAAUCACCGUGGGAUUGGUUAUGUGUGGCUGGAUCUGCGCAGAUUUUGGUGGAGUUGGUUGGGGUUGGCCGGAUCUGGUGGUGGUGGU